GGAGGUGUGAUUCAGGUGGUAGAGACUCUACCUGGCAAGCACAAAACCCUGAGUUCAAAUCUCAGUACUGCCA
rnacentral:tRNA from 1 species